CCCUUAGAUGUUCUGGGCCGCACGCGCGCUACACUGAUGCAUUCAACGAGCCUAUCCUUGACCGACAGGUCCGGGUAAUCUUUGAAUCUGCAUCGUGACGGGGAUAGAUUAUUGCAAUUAUUAAUCUUCAACGAGGAAUGCCUAGUAGGCGCAAGUCAUCAACUUGCGUCGAUUACGUCCCUGCCCUUUGUACACACCGCCCGUCGCUCCUACCGAUUGGGUGUGCUGGUGAAAUGUUCGGAUCGGCCGUUUGUCGCGGUUUCCGCGUCAUGUGGCUGAGAAGUUCAUUAAACCCUCCCACCUAGAGGAAGGAGAAGUCGUAACA
rnacentral:rRNA from 1 species